GCGGGUGUAGUUCAAUGGUAGAAUGGGAGCUUCCCAAGCUCUUGGUGUGGGUUCGAUUCCCAUCACCCGCU
rfam:Gammaproteobacteria bacterium RIFCSPHIGHO2_12_FTLL_38_14 rifcsphigho2_12_scaffold_2600, whole genome shotgun sequence.